rnacentral:rRNA from 1 species
GACGAACGCUGGCGGCGUGCCUAAUACAUGCAGGUAGAACGCUGAAGGAGGAGCUUGCUUCUCUGGAUGAGUUGCGAACGGGUGAGUAACGCGUAGGUAACCUGCCUGGUAGCGGGGGAUAACUAUUGGAAACGAUAGCUAAUACCGCAUAAUAUUGACUAUUGCAUGAUAGUCAGUUGAAAGGUGCAACUGCACCACUACCAGAUGGACCUGCGUUGUAUUAGCUAGUUGGUGGGGUAACGGCUCACCAAGGCGACGAUACAUAGCCGACCUGAUAGGGUGAUCGGCCAACCUGGGACUGAGACACGGCCCAGACUCCUACGGGAGGCAGCAGUAGGGAAUCUUCGGCAAUGGACGGAAGUCUGACCGAGCAACGCCGCGUGAGUGAAGAAGGUUUUCGGAUCGUAAAGCUCUGUUGUAAGAGAAGAACGAGUGUGAGAGUGGAAAGCUCACACUGUGACGGUAUCUUACCAGAAAGGGACGGCUAACUACGUG